ACGAACCGUGCGAACGUUAUUCGGAAUCACUGGGCUUAAAGCGCGUGUAGGCGGAUGGGUGCGUCGGAACCUGAAAGCCCCCGGCUCAACCGGGGAAGUGGGGCCGAAACGACCCGUCUGGAGGGACGUAGGGGGAUCUGGAACUUCCGGUGGAGCGGUGAAAUGCGUAGAGAUCUGGAGGAACACCGGUGGUGUAACGGCUUUCUGGACCAUAACUGACGCUGAGGCACGAAAGCGUGGGUAGCAAACAGGA
rnacentral:rRNA from 1 species